rnacentral:rRNA from 1 species
AAACUAACAAGGAUUCCCCUAGUAACGGCGAGUGAACCGGGAAGAGCUCAAAUUUGAAAUCUGGCGUCCUCAGGGCGUCCGAGUUGUAAUCUAUAGAGGCGUUUUCCGUGCCGGACCGUGUCCAAGUUCCUUGGAACAGGAUAUCAAAGAGGGUGACAAUCCCGUACUUGACACGACGACCGGUGCUCUGUGAUACGUCUUCUACGAGUCGAGUUGUUUGGGAAUGCAGCUCAAAAUGGGUGGUGAGUUCCAUCUAAAGCUAAAUAUUGGCGAGAGACCGAUAGCGAACAAGUACCGUGAGGGAAAGAUGAAAAGCACUUUGGAAAGAGAGUUAAACAGUACGUGAAAUUGUUGAAAGGGAAACGAUUGAAGUCAGUCGUGACCGAGAGGCUCAGCCGGCUCUGCCGGUGUAUUCCCCUCGGUCGGGUCAACAUCAGUUUUGUCCGGUGGAUAAGGGCGGUAGGAAGGUGGCACCCUCGGGUGUGUUAUAGCCUGCCGUCGCAUACAUCGGGUGAGACUGAGGAAUGCAGCUCGCCUUUAUGGCCGGGGUUCGCCCACGUCCGAGCUUAGGAUGUUGACAUAAUGGCUUUAAACGA